GGGAAAGGCAAGCAAACAAGUUGUCACAGCCACUCCCUGGGCAGAAAGGGGCUGAGUCACAAUACGGAGGAAUGACACUCAGGCUCCAGGCAGCUUUGGGACCGGAAAUCAGCUCUGCCAAUGGGGCGUGGCCAAGUCACUGUGACCUUGGAAGGAGAUGUGGAAGGGGUAGAGCUGACAAGAGGAUGUCGCUUCCUAUGGCUCAUGGAGAUGAGUUUCUUUAAAAGACAAGUCAGCAGACUGUCCUUGUGCAUAACUGUGGUGCCUUUCUGACAAGAGCCAUCCUGGAGGGGGCAGCGGGGCAUCUCCAUUUUUGUUGCUCAUUUCUGCAGAGCACUGGAGAGCAGGUGUGGUCGCAGAAGGUUGACUGUCUUGCUGAGCUCCCCAAACCCAAUUACACGGUAUGCUUAUCUUCCAGAACAUCUAUCUAGCAGGGACUGGUUGGACAGGAGGCCCCAUUGCCACUCAAGAAUUUUUGUUUCUCAUUUUCCUGCCCCACUGAGGUCCCAGGGCUUAAUGGAAUGUGAAACUGUACGGUUUCCUCUGCGCUAGCUAACUCAGAAGCAACGGUUUCUUAAAAAGCUCGGAAGAUCGACUCAACAUUCCGUGGGAGCCUUUCCCCGGCAGAUAAAACACCCUAGCUGAGUGGAAAGCAAGCAAACUGGUAUUGGGGUUCGGGACCCACGCGAAGCCUCCCAGAGCACUAAUGGAGAAGAGUAUUGUGCUUCCACCCAGAGGCGGCACCAAACUCCAGCAGGGACACGGGAAUGUGAAGGGUAGGGCUGGCCCUUCGCAGCAUGGGAAGAAGGAGGAGAUGCUUUUGAAUGAAAGCCCUGAUGUUUAAUGUUCUCCCGUAUAAAGGCCAUGACCCUGGAAUGUCUCCAACCUAAUCUAACAGUUGACCUCAACCAAGUCCUUAAGGCUCCAUCCCUCAUUUGCUAUGUUUUCAAGCUUUUUAGAGAAUUAAUGUUGAAUUUAGUAUAAGAGGUUACAUCUGACGUGAGGCUUGGCCGACCAGAACACCCACCAGCUACCACUGGUUGAUGGCAACCUGCGUGGGCAUGUUCUGAACUCUUUUAGGCCAAUGUUGUGAACCUGGUUGGCCCUCUAUGAAUGUUUGCUGCUCCUGGUUCUGAUGCUUCAGGAUGUGGGAACUUGGGUCACAUGUGGGAAAGGAUCUGGACUGAUGUGUUCCCUAAGCUCAGGAGGCCAGGGUCUCCUGUGGCGGAUGCAGAAACUGAUGUCUCAUCGUUCUCUUUUGUGGAAUUUAUCUGGUCAAGGAAGAGACAUCAAGGAAGAGAAAGUCAUUCUGGCUCAUUCUCAAAGUCAGUCUCAAGGUCAUUUCCUAGCCUGGCCUUGAGCACAUCCCAGCUUCUGGUUGGGCCCUAAACCGAAUGACCCCCACAGGGGUGGGUGCUCUAGACAGGGAGGAACCCUGGAAGGCUCAGACCCUGUGAAGUGAUCACAUCAACUCUGAGACUCACAGCUGUCAGCAACCUGGUGUCUGAUAAGCUUUCCUGGACAUCAGAUAACUGUGAAAUAACGUUUUGAUGAAUUAAGUAAAAAACGAAUCACAAACAUGUGGAAUACAUUUUCUUCACUGCACUCAAGAUUUAAAAUUUACAAGGAAAAGUAUUUGGCCACAUUUGCCAAACCUAAGAAGCAUUUGAAAGCAAGCCAGCAAAAGAUGUUUCAUGGAGACCAGCUGGGUUUGCUCAGCUUUGCUCAUAAAGAGGGUCCAUAAAGAAAUCGCUUCAGCCUUUACUGUUCUAUCAGCCCCUACUGGAGACACUUCCUUGGGAACGGAGGACUAAAAGAAUUUGGUCAGCUCUUGCCUACCGGGUCC